rnacentral:rRNA from 1 species
UACAGAGGUCUCGAGCGUUGUUCGGAUUCAUUGGGCGUAAAGGGUGCGUAGGUGGCGCUGUAAGUCGGGUGUGAAAUCCUGAGGCUUAACCUCGGAACUGCAUUCGAUACUGCGGUGCUUGAGGACUGGAGAGGAGACUGGAAUUCAUGGUGUAGCAGUGAAAAUGCGUAGAGAUCAUGAGGAAGACCAGUGGCGAAGGCGGGUCUCUGGACAGUUCCUGACACUGAGGCACGAAGGCCAGGGGAGCAAACGGG